rnacentral:rRNA from 10 species
GCCUACGGCCAUACUACGUUGAAAACACCGGUUCUCGUCUGAUCACCGAAGUUAAGCAACGUCGGGCCUGGUUAGUACUUGGAUGGGUGACCGCCUGGGAAUACCAGGUGCUGUAGGUUU